UACGUAGGGUGCGAGCGUUGUCCGGAAUUAUUGGGCGUAAAGAGCUUGUAGGCGGUUUGUCGCGUCUGCUGUGAAAAUCCGGGGCUCAACCCCGGACUUGCAGUGGGUACGGGCAGACUAGAGUGUGGUAGGGGAGACUGGAAUUCCUGGUGUAGCGGUGGAAUGCGCAGAUAUCAGGAGGAACACCGGUGGCGAAGGCGGGUCUCUGGGCCGGUACCGACGCUGAGGAGCGAAAGCGUGGGGAGCGAACAGG
rnacentral:rRNA from 1 species